rnacentral:rRNA from 1 species
AUGUUCUGUGAAUUCCAUGGAGAACUCGCCAUCGCAGUGCAUCUAGGUCAGCUCGACCCAGGCGCCAGUCUCCGAUGUGACAUGCUCACCGUCGUCAGUGUCUUCCUGGACGGCGAAGAGGAAGGCCAAGCGGAAAGGACCCGCGAGGCAGCCGCGGUGGUCGCACCCGUCCUUGGAGAGGAAGAGGGCGCGGCCGUGGCGGGCCCACCAGGAGCGGCAGUCUGGGGCGGCAUGGAAGAAGGGCGAGGCGGUGGUGGGAUGAAGCAGGGUUUGCGCUCGUCGGCCCUGUUGUGGAGGAAUCCGAGCGCGGGGGGCUGCCCGGUGGAUCUCGUGGAGGCGGCGUCGGAAACCCGGGUGCGAGACGGUGUGGCUCCAGGUCUUGCGGACGAGGGGGGCACGGAGGGGGCAGGCUGGGCCGUCGGGCGAGAUUCGGAGGAGGAUCUCUUAGACGAGCUCGUUGGGGACCGGUGGCGGCGCCGCCGCUGCUGCCAUGGUGGUCGCUAG